UUUAAACGGGAAUAGACAUAUCAACUGUACACGUGUAAAAAUUUUCUUACUUGGCACAUAUCAUCCCAUUUAGCCUUCAUUAUCUGGAUAUGAAGAAUUUAAUCCACCAUGAAAGUCUAAAAAUAUGAACAAGCUCAAUUUCUUUCCGGUCAAGAAAGAAAAAGAAGACCAUUUGCAUUGGAAAAACCAUCUGUUUCGGCCCUCUGCUCCACUAUUACCACCAUCACAAAUCCAAAUAUGCUACGAUCAACUAUUUCUCACCAAACAACUUUUCAUUUGUGAAAAAUCAAUAGCCUUGAAGAGUUUCUCACAAUAAUAUCGAGAUGGGUUGGGUUCUAGAGCGCCACCAUUGUGGAUCGGCGUCCUAAGAACUUUAACUCUUCAUCUUCUGCAGUUGCGGUUAGGCGUCUAGCAACCCAUCAAAAAUAUAAGUCAUCACUGAUUAUCGCAUCUCAUAUUUUCACUUAGAUCUGCAGUCACACAGCUCUUAGAUCUGUUGUGUCGCGCCUAGAUUUAUUGUCCCACCACCUAGUCUUUAGAUAUUCAAUGAUCCACCUAACUCUUAUCUCCUUCGUAUUACCAUGGAUCUGGGCAGUGCCGUGGAGGCUCGAUCGGCGAUGAACUGGACAUGGAUUUGGUUAGAAGCUUCCAUCGAUUUUACUAGAUGAUCUGUUGUGUUUGGAAAUGAUAUGGUGAUGGAGUUUCUAUUUUUAAUUGUUUAUUUGUUUGAAAAUGAUUUGUUUAUGGGUAGUUGAUUUUGAUUUAAUGAAUUCAUUAUAUAAUAAUUUUAGUUUUUAAAUUUUAAAAUAGUAAUUAAUCUUUAAAAUUAUUAGAUUCAUUAUUAUAUGGGCGAUGAACUGGACAUGAAUAUGAAUAUGGUUUGAAG
rnacentral:lncRNA from 1 species